rnacentral:pre_miRNA from 1 species
UGCUAACGAAUGCUCUGACUUUAUUGCACUACUGUACUUCACAGCUAGCAGUGCAAUAGUAUUGUCAAAGCAUCUGAAAGCAGC